UACGUAGGUCCCGAGCGUUGUCCGGAUUUAUUGGGCGUAAAGGGAACGCAGGCGGUCUUUUAAGUCUGAUGUGAAAGCCUUCGGCUUAACCGGAGUAGUGCAUUGGAAACUGGGAGACUUGAGUGCAGAAGAGGAGAGUGGAACUCCAUGUGUAGCGGUGAAAUGCGUAGAUAUAUGGAAGAACACCAGUGGCGAAAGCGGCUCUCUGGUCUGUAACUGACGCUGAGGUUCUAAAGCGUGGGUAGCAAACAGG
rnacentral:rRNA from 1 species